CGAGGAAACAUACUUCAGUUCCAUAGCCGAACAGCAGGGCACACCCUUCAGAGCUCAGAUUGGUAGAUGAUCAGAUUGAAAUGUUAUCCUAGCGUGUAGCCUCCAUUCUAUCUCGAUAGUUUCAUACUUCAGUCUUUGCACAAGGAUCGACAUCUCAGGAUGUAUCUUAUCAGACACUGAUCCCUCACAUUUUCACUAUUUUUCAGAUGAUUACUGAUCAGUUGGUACGCAUUGAGCAGCUUGAGAGUUGUAUAUUGAGACUGGCUGGUAGAGUACUUGACUUGCAGGGGCAAGUGUUAGCUCUAGCCCAUCCAC
rnacentral:lncRNA from 1 species